AGGAGGAUAAGGAAGAAUAAAAGCAGCAGAGGGAAGACGCUUGUAGAAGUUCUGAGGAAAUUGGAGAGCUGUCAAGGCAGCCAGGACUUGUGGAACCAGAUCCUGGAGAAAAGAGGAGACUGAAUUGAGCUGCAAUUGAGUUCAGCCCAACUUUCUAUGCACCACUUCUCCCCUUGGGACAUCUGCUGACUCUCAGCACAGGACAAGGAUCUGGAAAGCCUGGCAGGAAACAGUUCUUAAUCCACAAACCAAAGUUGCCAGAAAGAGAUUUUAAAACCACGGUGACUAAGAUGUACCUUAAAAUAGAUGAAAAGAUAAAGAAUUUUAAUAUAAAAUUGCAACCUAUAAAAGAAAAGCAAAUAAAAAUUUUAGAAUUAAAAAAGCAUACUAAGUUUGAAAACUCAAUAAAUGAGUUUAGUAACAGACUGGAUAUAGCUAAACAGAGAAUUAAUAGGGUGGAAGAAAAGUUAGAAGAAAAUAUCCAAACUAAAGUAAAGGGAAAAAAUGAUGGAAGAUAUACAUAAGCAGAGAGUCAAUACAUAUGACAUAGUGAAAUGGUCUAACAUAUACGAAACUGAAGCAUCAAAAGUGGAAGACAGAAAAUGAGAAGAGAGAGAAUAUUCAAAGACAAAGAACUUUCCAAAGCUGAUGAAAGAAACCAAAGAUUUGAGGAGCACUACAAUCCCAAACAAGAUAAAUAGCACAAAUUAAUAAAUAAAAAAUAAAUCACAGUAAAA
rnacentral:lncRNA from 10 species